rnacentral:rRNA from 1 species
ACGGCUCAGUAACACGUGGAUAACCUGCCCAAGGGUCUGGGAUAACCCCGGGAAACUGGGGAUAAUACCGGAUGGAUCACUAGUGCUGGAAUGCUUGGUGGUCGAAAGGCAACGCCUUUGGAUGGGUCUGCGGCGGAUUAGGUUGACGCCGGUGUAACGUACCGGCGUGCCUGUAAUCCGUACGGGUUGUGGGAGCAAGAGCCCGGAGAUGGAUUCUGAGACACGAAUCCAGGCCCUACGGGGCGCAGCAGGCGCGAAAACUCUACAAUGCAGGCAACUGCGAUAGGGGGACAUCGAGUGGCAUCCACCUUGGGUGCCUGUCCAACCGUCUAAAAAACGGUUGUUAGCAAGGGCCGGGUAAGACCGGUGCCAGCCGCCGCGGUAAUACCGGCGGCUCGAGUGGUGGCCGAUAUUAUUGAGUCUAAAGGGUCCGUAGCCGGCUUUGCAAGUCCCCUGGGAAAUCCAGCGGCUUAACCGUUGGGCUUUCAUGGGAUACUACAUUGCUUGGGACUGGGAGAGGUAGGAGGUACUCGGGGGGUAGGGGUGAAAUCCUGUAAUCCUCCGGGGACCACCGGUGGCGAAGGCGUCCUACCAGAACAGGUCCGACGGUGAGGGACGAAAGCUAGGGGCACGAACCGGAUUAGAUACCCGGGUAGUCCUAGCCGUAAACGAUGCCCGCUAGGUGUCAUGACGGUCGUGAAUCGUCGUGGUGCCGUAGGGAAGCCGCGAAGCGGGCCACUUGGGAAGUACGGCCGCAAGGCUGAAACUUAAAGGAAUUGGCGGGGGAGCAC